GUGGCUGAGCGGUUAAAAGCACUGACUGCUCUUCCAGAGGACCUGGGUUCAAUUCCCAGC
rnacentral:tRNA from 1 species